GGGCUAUCUGCAGUCGAGCGAAUGGAUUAAGAGCUUGCUCUUAUGAAGUUAGCGGCGGACGGGUGAGUAACACGUGGGUAACCUGCCCGUAAGACUGGGAUAACUCCGGGAAACCGGGGCUAAUACCGGAUAACAUUUUGCACCGCAUGGUGCGAAAUUCAAAGGCGGCUUCGGCUGUCACUUAUGGAUGGACCCGCGUCGCAUUAGCUAGUUGGUGAGGUAACGGCUCACCAAGGCAACGAUGCGUAGCCGACCUGAGAGGGUGAUCGGCCACACUGGGACUGAGACACGGCCCAGACUCCUACGGGAGGCAGCAGUAGGGAAUCUUCCGCAAUGGACGAAAGUCUGACGGAGCAACGCCGCGUGAGUGAUGAAGGCUUUCGGGUCGUAAAACUCUGUUGUUAGGGAAGAACAAGUGCUAGUUGAAUAAGCUGGCACCUUGACGGUACCUAACCAAAAAGCCACGGCUAACUACGUGCCACCAGCCGCGGUAAUACGUAGGUGGCAAGCGUUAUCCGGAAUUAUUGGGCGUAAAGCGCGCGCAGGUGGUUUCUUAAGUCUGAUGUGAAAGCCCACGGCUCACCCGUGGAGGGUCAUUGGAAACUGGGAGACUUGAGUGCAAAAAAGGAAAGUGAAAUUCCAUGUGUAGCGGUGAAAUGCGUAAAGAUAUGGAGGAACACCAGUGGCGAAGGCGACUUUCUGUUCUGUAACUGACACUGAGGCGCGAAAGCGUGGGGAGCAAACAGGAUUAGAUACCCUGGUAGUCCACGCCGUAAACGAUGAGUGCUAAGUGUUAGAGGGGUUUCCGCCCUUUAGUGCUGAAGUUAACGCAUUAAGCACUCCGCCUGGGGAGUACGGCCGCAAGGCUGAACUCAAGGAAUUGACGGGGGCCCGCACAGCGGUGGAGCAUGUGUUUAUUCGAGCACGCGAAGACCUUACAGGUCUUGACAUCCUCUGACACCCUAGAGAUAGGCUCCCUUCGGGGCAGAGUGACAGUGGUGCAUGUGUCGUCAGCUCUGUCUGAGAUGUGGGUAGUCCGCAACGAGCGCAACCUGAUCUAGUUGCCAUCAUUAGUGGGUACUCUAGUGACUGCGGUGACAACG
rnacentral:rRNA from 2 species